UACGGAGGAUGCGAGCGUUAUCCGGAUUUAUUGGGUUUAAAGGGUGCGUAGGCGGAUCGUUAAGUCAGUGGUCAAAUUGAGGGGCUCAACCCCUUCCCGCCAUUGAAACUGGCGCUCUUGAGUGGAAGAGAAGUAUGCGGAAUGCGUGGUGUAACGGUGAAAUGCAUAGAUAUCACGCAGAACCCCGAUUGCGAAGGCAGCAUGCCGGCUUCCGACUGACGCUGAAGCACGAAAGCGUGGGGAUCGAACAGG
rnacentral:rRNA from 1 species